GAUGAACGCUGGCGGCGUGCCUAAUACAUGCAAGUCGAGCGAACAGACGAGGAGCUUGCUCCUCUGACGUUAGCGGCGGACGGGUGAGUAACACGUGGAUAACCUACCUAUAAGACUGGGAUAACUUCGGGAAACCGGAUCUAAUACCGGAUAAUAUAUUGAACCGCAUGGUUCAAUAGUGAAAGACGGUUUUGCUGUCACUUAUAGAUGGAUCCGCGCCGCAUUAGCUAGUUGGUAAGGUAACGGCUUACCAAGGCAACCAUGCGUAGCCGACCUGAGAGAGUGAUCGGCCACACUGGAAGUGAGACACGGACCAGACUACUACGGGAGGCAGCAGUAGGGAAUCUUCCGCAAUGGGCGAAAGCCUGACGGAGCAACGCCGCGUGAGUGAUGAAGGUCUUCGGAUCGUAAAACUCUGUUAUUAGGGAAGAACAAAUGUGUAAGUAACUAUGCACGUAUUGACGGUAACUAAUCAGAAAGCCACGGCUAACUACGUG
rnacentral:rRNA from 1 species